AAAAGGUGGCUAUGCUCCCGCUUUUGGAUGGGCCCGCGGCGCAUUAGCUAGUUGGUGGGGUAAAGGCUUACCAAGGCAAUGAUGCGUAGCCGAACUGAGAGGUUGAUCGGCCACAUUGGGACUGAGACACGGCCCAAACUCCUACGGGAGGCAGCAGUAGGGAAUCUUCCACAAUGGGCGAAAGCCUGAUGGAGCAACGCCGCGUGGGUGAAGAAGGUCUUCGGAUCGUAAAACCCUGUUGUUAGAGAAGAAAGUGCGUGAGAGUAACUGUUCACGUUUCGACGGUAUCUAACCAGAAAGCCACGGCUAACUACGUGCCAGCAGCCGCGGUAAUACGUAGGUGGCAAGCGUUAUCCGGAUUUAUUGGGCGUAAAGGGAACGCAGGCGGUCUUUUAAGUCUGAUGUGAAAGCCUUCGGCUUAACCGGAGUAGUGCAUUGGAAACUGGGAGACUUGAGUGCAGAAGAGGAGAGUGGAACUCCAUGUGUAGCGGUGAAAUGCGUAGAUAUAUGGAAGAACACCAGUGGCGAAAGCGGCUCUCUGGUCUGUAACUGACGCUGAGGUUCGAAAGCGUGGGUAGCAAACAGGAUUAGAUACCCUGGUAGUCCACGCCGUAAACGAUGAAUGCUAAGUGUUGGAGGGUUUCCGCCCUUCA
rnacentral:rRNA from 1 species